rfam:Trichomalopsis sarcophagae strain Alberta scaffold2713, whole genome shotgun sequence.
CCAUCGGCCCUUUUCAGGGCCACGAAAACAUCCAUACGUAUAGAA